rnacentral:rRNA from 1 species
UACGGAGGGGGCAAGCGUUGUCCGGAAUCAUUGGGCGUAAAGCGCGUGUAGGCGGCUUUGCAAGUCGGAUGUGAAAGCCCACGGCUCAACCGUGGAAGUGCAUCCGAAACUGCAUGGCUUGAGUCUCGGAGAGGAAGGUGGAAUGCUUGGUGUAGAGGUGAAAUUCGUAGAUAUCAAGCAGAACACCUGCGGCGAAGGCGGCCUUCUGGACGAUGACUGACGCUGAGACGCGAAAGCGUGGGGAGCAAACAGG